UUAGUUGCAUCUUGCCUCAUUAUAUGUAUUGUGUGUUCUGUUCAUUGAGUAUGGUCUGAAACGUGGUGUGCGAGAGUGUGCGUGUGUGUGUAAGAAAGAGAGAAAGACAUUGCCCCACAACGUACCCUCUCUAAAUUGUGUCCCUGCUUGGAAGUGUGUGGACUCUUUUCAUGAAGGAAUAAUUUUCUCCCACCAGCCCCAGCCAAGGUCAGGUCUCCAAAAGGGUGGCAUGCGUCCCCUCAGACAAUUUGUUUGUCCCCCAUCUGCCCCCCCCCACAUUUCUGUUUCAGAAAUCUAAUAUGUGAGACACAGCUUACCCACCCAUAAAUGUGCUUCGCCACUUCUGUGCCCACCUCAGUUUGUUUUUUCUGGUGCCACCACUGCCCUUGACUUUGAACACUUUUACAAAAGUAACCAUAUUUGCUUAUGCUACAGUCUUGGUGCCUUCACAGUAAUUUUGCACAUGGGACUCUGUUGAGUGAUCGAUACAGCAAUAAUUAUUAUUUUGUUUAGUGGUGCAACUUGAACGCCCAAACCUAACUUCACAUAUUACCAUUAGGAUUAAAAACUGAACCAUCCCCUUCUGAUUUUGUUUUCCAUGCACGUCUGGGCAACCGAGACAUUCGUCAGCUUCUUCACACCUUCUGAUUGGGAACCGAGGCUCAGAGAAAGCGAUUACCAAGACCCAAGGCCAUCCAGUAAUGUUGUGCCUGAGGAUAGAACCAGAGCAACUGAAGAUUCAAAGUUGGUUCAAGGGAUUGCUGACAAGUCCUGGCCUUGGCACAAGGAUGGUAUCAAGAGGUCAGCAUCAUCAGGCAUCUGCUGAAGUCCAUGCAGCUCUUUUCUACUCAUGCACCUGCCCUUUUCCUUUUGCUGGCAGUAGGGACUGGAUCUAGAGGCAGAGGGGAGAGCAAGUGAGGGAUGGGAAGAGGAAGAUGGCCCAGAGAGGGGCUUUUGCCUGCGGGCCUUUCAAAACCUGGAACUGGCACAGCUAUGUAAAUUGACACAAAAAGAAUCUACACAAAGAUUGCUGGGAGCUCUUACAGAUUAUUCAAUCAUUCAGCUGAAAAGGAAAUUUUGAACCAGGCUUAUGCAAGGAAGGAGAGAGCUCCUGUAUGUUCCUGCAGAAGAGAGAAUUUUGGCAAGGAAAACUUGUCAUGUUAUGCAGGGAUGAGAAAAACGGCACCUGCUGAAAUUCCCUUUGUCACUCUAACAAUGCACAAGUUGGGGUGUGUGUGUGCGUGUGCGUGCACGUACGUGCACCUGCACACAAAAGGACACUGUCCAAGGUCCCUUCCAACAUUCUAUGAUUCUAUGAACAUACGCAGUCCAUUUCUAAUACACUUGUGGCUUUGGUGAAAGUGAAUGCUAGUUUAGUGUUUAUACUCCUUUCUGACAAUGUUUAUUCCCAUGCAAUAUAAGUUCUAGUGAAGGUUUCAUCAGCACAAGAUCCCAGGUUUGAGAACUGUGAGAUUUUAUCACUGGAGGAGGCCAAGGCUGGUCUGGCUGGCCCUGUUGGUAACCCAGAUGACAACAACUUUCUCUGCCAUAAGGUACUAACUCCAGUUGAGGUUCUAGCCCAGUCUGUUGCAUCUGUACACAAAACCUAGGGAUUUUAGUCAUGGAAGAAGUGGUGGCAGCCAGCACUCUCAUACCUAUGGCAGCUGCUCCAAGGGAGGUUCUUGCUCAGCCUGAUGCAACUACACCUAGCAGCUCCAGUGAGAAUCUAGCAAGGCAGGGGAAAGGCCACAGCGGUCAGGCACAGAUGCCCCUGUAUCCAAUGGCAUCCCCCUGAGUGUGGGCUAUUGUUGAGGUGGUUGUUCAUGGGCAGCCAAUUUUAGGGAUAGCAGGACGAUUGUGAUGGCAUGUCUGACUUGGUCCAGCUCGGUCUGAUCAGGCUCAUGUGCUCACGGGGGGCAGUAGUAGGCUUUCUUGACCCUCAACAGUAUAGCCCUUGCAAUGCUACCUGUAUGGCUCUGUUUCUUGUGUGUCCAGUGGAAUGUUUAUUCAUUUCCUUUGCAUCACCCAAUGCCAUUUCAGAAGUGUUGUGGUCCAGGCCUGAUUUGUAUACUGAAUAUGCUCAUUAGCUAGCAUACAAGAUUAGGCCUAUCUCAUCGGUGUCACCAAGUGACCAAGUUCUUUUAUAUAGUGACCAUGUAGGAUCUGGGUGCAAGGAAGAAAGGAGAUCAAAGCAAUCCUAAAUGAUUCAAUGGGCUUUAUUGAGUAUAAAAGAAUAACAACAUCAAUCUAGCUGAGCAGAAAGCAGAACAUUCUAUCAAUAUUACUAACAGUAUUUCAACCCUAGCCAGCACCAAUAUUCACCCAGUGUUCCUAACUAACAUAUGUGUGUGUAUUAAAUCUUCCUAGAGCCUACAGGUGGAAAAAGGGGGAGGAAGGUAAGGAAGGCUGAGGGCUGGCAUGGUUUGGGGAGAUCAGGAAUUAGUAGAGGGACGAGGGGAAAGGAGAAGGGGAAAGGAUGGAGGGAUCCAAGGCUUGUGGGGUGGCAUAUUACCCAGAUCAGAGGCUUGAGAAUGGUGGAUCUUUCAGCUGAAGCUUUUGGCUGGAGACAGAAGCUUUUGGAUCAAGCAUGCAGUUUGCUCAGAGCACGGCUGAGAGUCAGAGCACCAUGGCUGGGGAAGUCUUGACUUCUCACUGCGCAGUGGAAGUCACAGACAGUUCCUGUCCAUGGAAAGAGUUCCUGCUUGUUGCCCCGCGGCUUAGCAGCAAACUCUGGGAUUGCUCGUGAGCAGAUCUUGCUUGUAGGCACAAGAUUGCUCGUUCUCUGUCCAGUAAGCCUGUUCUUUAUAGUUGUAUUUUCCUUUGAUCUCUCAUAGAGUCUAUUCAAAUCUCCUCAUCUUUUCCUGGGUCCCCAAAAGGGUGACAAUGCUGUUACCUUCUGGAUAAUGUCUUUUAAUUAUUCAGGAUAUUGGCCAGUCCAGAGAGAUCUUAAUCUCAUCUUCUGUUAGCUGCUAUCCUGAGGAGAGGACAUUGCUCAAGGCAAAUCUGCAUCUCUGAGUUGCAAAUGGGCAUCUUCUCUUGUCCCAGAUUUGCUAGCCUGAUACCAAAAGGUGUUAAAGUGUUAAGUAAGAAUUAAUGUCUAUAGGUGUUUUCUUUUGUGUGCAUUUACCUAUGUUGAAUUUCUAUAGAGAGCAAUUGAGUAUAGCAGAGCAAUAAUUGACAAGGAUUAACAUAGACUUCUUGCAACAGGAAAGGGGAGAUCAGCCUCUGGCCUCUUCCACAGACAUUAUCUGAUAGUGAGUCACAUUUUAGCAUUUGGAUUGUUCUGGCUUGGCUUUUGUGCUUCCUUGAGUACCCAUUUCACAAUACAAUGCUGGAUCGCCUCUUCCCUCACAGACCAGUUGAGAUCUGGGGUGUCAAUUCACCCUGAGCCCAGGCAUUAAUUCCUGUCUUAAUAAAAUUGGAACCAGACACAGGCCUGAAUUCCACAUACUUCUGGGCCGGUACCUCUGGAUCUAAGGUUGGGGUACAUGUGCCCCAACAGAAGCUGCUUCUGAAUUUCUUCCCAGUUUCCAAAAGGUUUACCCUGGGAUUCCUGUCUGGAAAGAUAAUCCAAAGGGAGCCCAGCCCGGUUUUGCACGUGCAUGUGAACCGUCGGGAUUGGGCCAGUCCCAGCAGCAACAGGGCAGCAAACCCGCCUAAAUAGCCACCCUUGAAAAUGAGGUGAAGGGAGCAAGCACUCCCUUAUGCUCAUUUUUUGAUCAUCUGGCAAGCAGACGCAGCUGCCAGACUGCGGGGAGCCUGGAGAGGGGAGGGUGGAUCCCCAUGAUGCACCACGCACUCACAUGGUGCAUCAUGGUAUUUCCAGGGGGCGGGGCGACACAUUCCGGCCCUGACCCUCCCUGCUGCCUCAGCGCACAGGGAAUCAUUUGGGCGCGUGGGGAGUGCGCCUAGCAAUGGCGCCUGGAUCGUCUGCAGGGAAGUUAGGAGUAACCCGCCUCCCCUGCAGUCUGCUCUGGAGCCCUUUUCAUGGAUUGUGAGACGAGGCUCCCUGGGUGCAUGGAACUAGUUUUUGCAAAGUUCUCUGAAUUCAUAUCUUAGUCUUUAUAAAUGAUCUGAGAUCUAUAGACUCUUCCAAAGGAUUACAUUUUGUGCAUAGCUAAAUCAGUCCUCUUAUUAAAGUGCUAUACUGUAUUCUAUUACUUUUAUAUGAAUUUAUCUUCUGUUUUCUCUUUAAAAGAAUCUUGUCUGUAUUUGAAUAUAAUUUGGUUUUGUCUCA